UCAUCUGUCCAUCAUCAACCAUUAACCAUCAACCAUCAUCGACUCUUACGCAUUUAAUGAAAAUGUUUUUUAUAAAUUAUUACGAGGUCUUAAACGAAUUUUUCAAUGUGGUUUAAUUUUUGAUUCUAUUUGUGUAAAGAUUUCCAUCUAUCGGUUAAAAUGGCGUGGUUCAUUAGCGUCAUGAAGAUGGCGUCAUCUGUCCAUCAAUCCAUCAUCAACCUCAUCGUUAAUUUACAAAUACAAACAAGAAAAAAAAUCGAUUUUGAAUCGUUUUUAUGUCAAGCAGACGCCAAGCAUCUUUGAAUAGCGUGGUCUGUGCUCUAUGAUAAGUGUUACUGCUGGAGUGAGCAAUUUCAGAUAGCGUCAUGAUGGCGUGCCCCGUUAGCGUCAUGAUGGCGUGCCCCGUUAGCGUCAUGGUUGGCGUGCCCUGUUAGCGUCAUGGUUGGCGUGCCCUAUGUAAGCGUCGUGAUUGGCGUGCCCUGUGUUAACACAAUAUGCUUUCUUUAUUCGUGUGCUGUGAUUUCAACACCAGCAUUGGUCAGAGGAGACUCGCAAGCAGCAAGCUAGAACCUCUUCAUCAGCCAGAAGCUUGCUACAAAGAAGUACACAGGGGCUGCACAGAUGUGCAACAAUUUUAUCGAGCCAUGGCAUCUGAGUGUGAUGGUGCCCUGUCAAUUUAUAAUAUGCCAACCCCUAACUAGCCUAGGAGUAAACAGGUUGAUUUGCAUUAUUUGGAUCUUCUCUAACAGAAAUCAACUGAGGACCACCAGACAGCAUCUUAACAGACGAGCUCUUCUAGUAAAAUUUUGAGUGAUGAUGGAGAUUGGGGUUGGUUUGCCCCUCCGAAGUCACGAAAGGAUUU